rnacentral:rRNA from 1 species
UACGGAGGGUGCAAGCGUUAUCCGGAUUCACUGGGGUUAAAGGGUGCGUAGGCGGGCAGGUAAGUCAGUGGUGAAAUCUCCGGGCUUAACCCGGAAACUGCCGUUGAUACUAUUUGUCUUGAAUAUUGUGGAGGUAAGCGGAAUAUGUCAUGUAGCGGUGAAAUGCUUAGAUAUGACAUAGAACACCAAUUGCGAAGGCAGCUUACUAUGGUUUUAUUGACACUGAGGCACGAAAGCGUGGGGAUCAAACAGG